GAUAGGUGUGUUCAGAUAUUCCAGCCUGUGAUGCUUUGCUUUAACUAUAUCUUAGUAUCGUAGCCCGGCUUAGGGAAAGCUUAUUUUGAGAUCAUUGGGAAUCUUCAGGUUAUAAAUUAGUGAAUACUUAAGACAUAGGUAUGGGGGGGUUACAGUUAAUGUUAGAGUUAUGCUUGAAUUAAGUAUUUAUAUUAAAACUGCUCACAUUUUAGGAACUAGGAUGAAACUUGAAAGGGGAGGAGGGUGAACAGUAUGGUAAAAAACAUUUAGAGAAAUUCAGUAAAUUCUCUUUAAUUGUUAGAAACUAGAGUUUUGAACAAAUCAAGAUAAAAGAAGGCUAAUGAAAAGUAUUAAAGAUCAGAAAAUUAAAAUUGAAUGGGGGAAAAAAUUGAACAGAAGAUUGGUCAGAUAGAAGCACUUGAAUAUUUUUUUUAAGGCUAUUUUGAAUUGUUUUGGGGAAGAAUA
rnacentral:lncRNA from 1 species